UUCCCGCGUGGCUAAAAGGCCCCCAAGGAGGGCUGUCCUUCCAGUUGCCUGAGUCGCCGUCCCCAGGUGCUGGGGCAACAAGAGUUAACAUUGUUGUAGCCCCCCUACAACUCCCAGCAGGCCAGAUUUGGGGGGAUUCUGGGAGUCAUAGUCCCAGACAAAGGGCACCUACGUUGAGGAAAGUAUGUCAGCAGCGGAGAGCCCGGAAGCUAAUAGGCAGCCAGUGGAGAGAUCUUAAUACCGGAGUUAUAUGAUCUGAUCUAGAAGUUCCGGCGACCAAUCUGGCUGCAGCGUUUUGAACUAACUGAAGCUUCUGAACCUGGUACAAAGGCCCUUUUGGACCAAGUCGUCUACCACGUCCGGGCGCUGGUGGUCCUGCCCACAAGGAACUGGCCCAGCAGAAGAAAGGAGCCAAGACUAAUUGGGUCUUCUUGGCCAGGCUUCAAUGAAAAGGAUACACCGUCUCCUUCACAGAGCUCCUUCCUUACACUUGGUUCCCAUGAAAGUCUACUAAGGACCAAAAUUCCAUGUUCCCAGUAUAUAUCCAAGCUUUAGCUAUCCGGUAUCUGCAAGUGGCAGUUUUACAAAGAGGUUGAACUGAUCCUGGUCCCAUUAUCGAAAGACAGUCUCUAGGUAGCAUGUUGUGACUUAAUCCAACGGUGGAUGAUGUCCCAUUAAGAUAGCCUGGUUUGUAAACUACCGACAGGAGGCAACCCUGCAACCAUCUGCAGAAAAGAUGAACAGAGUCCCAGGGAGGAGUUAUUCAUGCUUUUACAGAAUUGCUUUCUCCUGCCAAAGACGAAAGAAAUCUUCUCAAUGCCAUUAGGAAAGAUCAUGGUGAUCAACAGGGUACCUUCUUAGGGUAGAAGACAUCUGUUUGGUUGUUAAAAAUCGCUGCUCAACUUUGGCUAAAAGAAAAAAAAACAUAAAGAGUAGUAAAACCCAGGUGUGCACGUGUGUGUAUGUGCACAUGUUUUUUGUCUGCUUGCUCCUCUAAACAUCCCCACAAGCACAGUGUUCAUCGUCCGCUCUUGCUUAAAAAGAGUUCCAGAAGGAGUACUUCCAUACGCUCCCUUUCUUGCCGGUGGGCAAAAUCCAAAUUUUCUCAGCCAUUUCAUAUUACGAAGGAGGACUUGUGCCUAAAGUCACCCUGGAAUGGAGACAAAGAAAAAUAUGGUUCAGAAUACAUACAUACAUACAUACAUACAUAUUCAUGACUCACAACUGUUUGAACCAAGCUGAACUGGGUUGUUGUUGGGGGUUUUUUGGCCAAAAUCCUGUCUGUACCUUUUCUGGAAUAACCAAUGCAGCAUACUGGUUUGAACGCUGGACUAGGAUUCUGGAGACCCGGGUUCAAUUUUCUGUUUGGACAUGAAACUUGCUAGGUGAUCUUGGGGAGGUCACAUGCUCUCAGCCUCAGGGAACAGCACUGGCAACUGAACAAAUCUUGCCAAGAAAACACCAUGAUAGGUUUGCCUGAGUUGGAAACAACUUGGAAGCACACAACAACAAAUCUGUUCCUGGCACAACAAUCUGUGUAAGGUAGUUUUUUGGAGCAGUGUGUAGCAAUGGGGUGGGAGUUGCAAAGAAACCUGUAUGUUUAUCAGAGAAGUUUUCCGUGAUCAGAACACCUUUCUCUCCUGACAGAGAUGGCUUUUGCUGUCAUCCCAGUUUUGGUGUCGCUCUCACAGACUUGUUAUUUUGGCUCUUAUGCUGCUGCCUACACCACCAUCAAUCCCAGUGUAAUUGCAGCAGCCAACAUGAUCAUAGCCCCUCUCUCUUCCAGAACUACACUUAUAUUGCAAACUAGAGCUGCUCCGCAUGAGGCAAAGAGGCUUAAAUACUGCCUGUGUCUAGCAAGCUUUAAUAAUGCCUUGCAUUUUACAAAUUGCCUGGCCACUACUGGCAAUCAGAAAUUCCCUGCAGAUGAACAAGCAGAUUGAACCAGGAGGAGGGAUGCAGUACUUUAUUCCUCCUCCCUGACCAGCCUCACUUAAUUUCUAUACUGGCUGCUAAGGAAGGACAACAAUCUUUUCUCUUUUAAAAGGGGUGGGUUUGCUAAGUGACAUUUGUGCAAAGGGUAAACUCAAGUAUGCAGCAACAUUGCACAGGCAUAAAUUUUCACUGCAUUAAAAGUAUACAGGAUUUUCGCCUUAAAAUGUAAUAUUUGUGAUAAUGUGUUAUUGUUGUGUGCCUCCCAAGUCAUUUCCAAUUUAUGACAAACCUAAGGUGAAUCUAUCAUAGGGUUUUCCUGUGAGGCUGAGAGAGUGUGACUUGUCCAAGGUCACCCAGUGGAUUCCCAUGGUCAAGCUGGGCUGGCUGACCUGUUCUCCAGAGUCAUAGUCUAAUGCUCAAACCACUACAUCACGCUGCACGAAUGCUCAAGUCCCAUUACAGUAUAGUAAAAUGGCAUCCCUUGUAUAAAACAGCAAAAUCAAUGUUUACUGUGUGUGUGUGUGUGUGUGUGUGUGUGUGUGUGUGUGUUUGAAUAUUUUCAGACUGUGAUGGGUUGAAUUUGUGAACGCAGAAUCGGUGGAUAUGGAGCGCUGACUGUUUGCUAUGACAAGGGACUUACACCCAACACAUUUGUGUUUUUUUACAUUUCCAUUGUGGUUUGCACUAAAAUACUUUCAUGAUACUGUUUUGGUACUGUACUUUGAAUGUGACUUUGCUGCGUUUUCACUGAUAUUACAUUUAAGCAUUCAGAUUUUUUUGUUAUUUUAUAUUAUUAAAUUUGCAAUUUUGCAAUUCCCCUCUC